AUCGAACGCUGGCGGCAGGCCUAAUACAUGCAAGUCGAACGAGUGGCGGACGGGUGAGUAAGGUCUGGGAAACUGCCUGAUGGAGGGGGAUAACUACUGGAAACGGUAGCUAAUACCGCAUACCAUCGGAUGUGCCCAGACGGGAUUAGCUAGUAGGUGGGGUAACGGAUCACCUAGGCGACGAUCCCUAGCUGGUCUGAGAGGAUGACCGGCCACACUGGAACUGAGACACGGCCCAGACUCCUACGGGAGGCAGCAGUGGGGAAUAUUGGACAAUGGGCGAAAGCCGGAUGCAGCAAUGCCGCGUGUAUGAAGAAGGCCUUCGGAUUGUAAAUUUCUUUCGGCGGGGAGGCGUUACUCGCAGAGAAAGCACCGGCUAACUCCGUGCCAGCAGCCGCGGUAAUAC
rnacentral:rRNA from 1 species